rnacentral:rRNA from 1 species
GAGAGUUUGAUCCUGGCUCAGGAUGAACGCUAGCGGGAGGCCUAACACAUGCAAGCCGAGCGGUAUUUGUCUUUCGGGACAGAGAGAGCGGCGUACGGGUGCGGAACACGUGUGCAACCUGCCUUUAUCUGGGGGAUAGCCUUUCGAAAGGAAGAUUAAUACCCCAUAAUAUAAUUGAUGGCAUCAUUGAUUAUUGAAAACUCCGGUGGAUAGAGAUGGGCACGCGCAAGAUUAGAUAGUUGGUGAGGUAACGGCUCACCAAGUCGAUGAUCUUUAGGGGGCCUGAGAGGGUGAUCCCCCACACUGGUACUGAGACACGGACCAGACUCCUACGGGAGGCAGCAGUGAGGAAUAUUGGACAAUGGGUUAGCGCCUGAUCCAGCCAUCCCGCGUGAAGGAUGACGGCCCUAUGGGUUGUAAACUUCUUUUGUACAGGGAUAAACCUACUCUCGUGAGAGUAGCUGAAGGUACUGUACGAAUAAGCACCGGCUAACUCCGUG